rnacentral:rRNA from 1 species
CCUACGGGUGGCUGCAGUGAGGAAUAUUGGUCAAUGGGCGCGAGCCUGAACCAGCCAAGUCGCGUGAGGGAAGACGGCCCUACGGGUUGUAAACCUCUUUUGCCGGGGAGCAACGGGCGCCACGUGUGGCGCCACUGAGAGUACCCGGAGAAAAAGCAUCGGCGAACGCCGUGCCAGCAGCCGGGGUAAUACGGAGGAUGCGAGCGUUAUCCGGAUUUAUUGGGUUUAAAGGGUGCGUAGGCGGAGCGCUAAGUCAGUGGUCAAAUGGAGGGGCUCAACCCCUCCCCGCCAUUGAAACUGGCGCUCUAGAGUAGAAGAGAGGUAUGCGGAAUGCGUGGGGUAGCGGUGAAAUGCAUAGAUAUCACGCAGAACCCCGAUUGCGAAGGCAGCAUGCCGGCUUCCGACUGACGCUGAGGCACGAAAGCGUGGGGAUCGAACAGGAUUAGAGACCCUAGUAGUC